rnacentral:tRNA from 1 species
AGAGUUUGAUCCUGGCUCAGGACGAACGCUGGCGGCGUGCCUAAUACAUGCAAGUAGAACGCUGAAGGAGGAGCUUGCUUCUCUGGAUGAGUUGCGAACGGGUGAGUAACGCGUAGGUAACCUGCCUGGUAGCGGGGGAUANGAGAAGAAGGACUGGUAGACGAUAUUCCACGUUUAAGGAAAUAUUUCAAAACCAAGUUUCGAAAUCGAAUUUUAGACUAUAUCCGUAAGCAGGAAAGUCAGAAGCGUAGAUACGAUAAAGAACCCUAUGAAGAAGUGGGAGAGAUCAGUCAUCGUAUAAGUGAGGGGGGUCUCUGGCUAGAUGAUUAUUAUCUCUUUCAUGAAACACUAAGAGAUUAUAGAAACAAACAAAGUAAAGAGAAACAAGAAGAACUAGAACGCGUCUUAAGCAAUGAACGAUUUCGAGGGCGUCAAAGAGUAUUAAGAGACUUACGCAUUGUGUUUAAGGAGUUUACUAUCCGUACCCACUAGGAAGUCAUGCAAAAAAAAUGAAAAAAAUUAGAAAAAGUAGUUGACAAAGUUUGAAAAGACUGUAUAAUAGUAAGAGUUGAAAAUAACAACUCAGGUCCGUUGGUCAAGGGGUUAAGACACCGCCUUUUCACGGCGGUAACACGGGUUCGAAUCCCGUACGGACUAUGGUAUGUUGCGGUUGGAACACUUGAUGAAAAAAAGUUUAAAAAAACUUAAAAAUCUUCAAAAAAGUGUUGACAAGCGAAAGCAGUUGUGAUAUACUAAUAUAGUUGUCGCUUGAGAGAAGCAAGUGACAAAGACCUUUGAAAACUGAACAAGACGAACCAAUGUGCAGGGCGCUACAACAUAAGUUGUAGUACUGAACAAUGAAAAAAACAAUAAAUCUGUCAGUGACAGAAAUGAGUGAGAACUCAAACUUUUAAUGAGAGUUUGAUCCUGGCUCAGGACGAACGCUGGCGGCGUGCCUAAUACAUGCAAGUAGAACGCUGAAGGAGGAGCUUGCUUCUCUGGAUGAGUUGCGAACGGGUGAGUAACGCGUAGGUAACCUGCCUGGUAGCGGGGGAUAACUAUUGGAAACGAUAGCUAAUACCGCAUAAGAGUGGAUGUUGCAUGACAUUUGCUUAAAAGGUGCACUUGCAUCACUACCAGAUGGACCUGCGUUGUAUUAGCUAGUUGGUGGGGUAACGGCUCACCAAGGCGACGAUACAUAGCCGACCUGAGAGGGUGAUCGGCCACACUGGGACUGAGACACGGCCCAGACUCCUACGGGAGGCAGCAGUAGGGAAUCUUCGGCAAUGGACGGAAGUCUGACCGAGCAACGCCGCGUGAGUGAAGAAGGUUUUCGGAUCGUAAAGCUCUGUUGUAAGAGAAGAACGAGUGUGAGAGUGGAAAGUUCACACUGUGACGGUAUCUUACCAGAAAGGGACGGCUAACUACGUGCCAGCAGCCGCGGUAAUACGUAGGUCCCGAGCGUUGUCCGGAUUUAUUGGGCGUAAAGCGAGCGCAGGCGGUUAGAUAAGUCUGAAGUUAAAGGCUGUGGCUUAACCAUAGUAGGCUUUGGAAACUGUUUAACUUGAGUGCAAGAGGGGAGAGUGGAAUUCCAUGUGUAGCGGUGAAAUGCGUAGAUAUAUGGAGGAACACCGGUGGCGAAAGCGGCUCUCUGGCUUGUAACUGACGCUGAGGCUCGAAAGCGUGGGGAGCAAACAGGAUUAGAUACCCUGGUAGUCCACGCUGUAAACGAUGAGUGCUAGGUGUUAGACCCUUUCCGGGGUUUAGUGCCGUAGCUAACGCAUUAAGCACUCCGCCUGGGGAGUACGACCGCAAGGUUGAAACUCAAAGGAAUUGACGGGGGCCCGCACAAGCGGUGGAGCAUGUGGUUUAAUUCGAAGCAACGCGAAGAACCUUACCAGGUCUUGACAUCCCUCUGACCGCUCUAGAGAUAGAGUUUUCCUUCGGGACAGAGGUGACAGGUGGUGCAUGGUUGUCGUCAGCUCGUGUCGUGAGAUGUUGGGUUAAGUCCCGCAACGAGCGCAACCCCUAUUGUUAGUUGCCAUCAUUUAGUUGGGCACUCUAGCGAGACUGCCGGUAAUAAACCGGAGGAAGGUGGGGAUGACGUCAAAUCAUCAUGCCCCUUAUGACCUGGGCUACACACGUGCUACAAUGGCUGGUACAACGAGUCGCAAGCCGGUGACGGCAAGCUAAUCUCUUAAAGCCAGUCUCAGUUCGGAUUGUAGGCUGCAACUCGCCUACAUGAAGUCGGAAUCGCUAGUAAUCGCGGAUCAGCACGCCGCGGUGAAUACGUUCCCGGGCCUUGUACACACCGCCCGUCACACCACGAGAGUUUGUAACACCCGAAGUCGGUGAGGUAACCGUAAGGAGCCAGCCGCCUAAGGUGGGAUAGAUGAUUGGGGUGAAGUCGUAACAAGGUAGCCGUAUCGGAAGGUGCGGCUGGAUCACCU